rnacentral:rRNA from 1 species
GAUGAACGCUGGCGGCGUGCCUAAUACAUGCAAGUCGAGCGAACAGAUAAGGAGCUUGCUCCUUUGACGUUAGCGGCGGACGGGUGAGUAACACGUGGAUAACCUACCUAUAAGACUGGGAUAACUUCGGGAAACCGGAGCUAAUACCGGAUAACAUAUUGAACCGCAUGGUUCAAUAGUGAAAGGCGGCUUUGCUGUCAUUUAUAGAUGGAUCCGCGCCGUAUUAGCUAGUUGGUAAGGUAACGGCUUACCAAGGCAACGAUACGUAGCCGACCUGAGAGGGUGAUCGGCCACACUGGAACUGAGACACGGUCCAGACUCCUACGGGAGGCAGCAGUAGGGAAUCUUCCGCAAUGGGCGAAAGCCUGACGGAGCAACGCCGCGUGAGUGAUGAAGGUCUUCGGAUCGUAAAACUCUGUUAUCAGGGAAGAACAAAUGUGUAAGUAACUGUGCACAUCUUGGCGGUACCUGAUCAGAAAGCCACGGCUAACUACGUG